UAUUUUAAUUGUCGUGUCAUCAUCGCAUCAUGCGCAUCAUCAGCAUUGCAUCGGUGUCUCCGUUGCCGCCAGUUUUCAAAACUUGCAUUCGUUAGUAGUUGCCGGUUCUCGUCGUCGUCCGUUCCGAGCCCGACCGCACUCGCACGCGCGCGCGGCACCGUCGAAACCCUGUUUUAAAAGCGCGUUUAAAACUCUCUCUGAUCGAGGUGAAACUUGGCACGCGGUCGCGAUUAGAUGUAGCUAGGCCGCCUGUCGAAUUUCGUCGCGAUCGGAGACCGACUGGUACCCGAACGGUCGACCGUAGCGGCACCGUCGUCGGUUAUUCGUCGGACGUCUGUCGGUGUUUUAAAGUUCGUGCCGCGCCGCCCGUUCUCCCUCUCGUCUCCGGAUAUCUACACAACACGGCCACGUAGCUCGUCCUGCGUUCGGAAUUGUCCGAAUCCGACCCCGCGGUUGGAUCCGGAGCGCGAUUCCGGUUAACCGAGCCCCCCCAUUUGUCUAUAAAUACCCCCUCCGUGCCUAUUUUGGGCGCCCCCCCUAAUUCCUCCUAGUUUUCCGCGCCCUAACCCUAAUUC
rnacentral:lncRNA from 1 species